rnacentral:misc_RNA from 1 species
AAGUCAGGAGUUGGUAUCAGGCACAGAAUUUCUAGCCCACGACACCUAGCUAUGCCACACCCUCAAGGGUAUUCAGCAGUGAUAAACCUUGUUCAUAAGCGAAAGCUUAAAUCAGUUAUAGUAUUUUAGAGCAGGCCAAUUCGGUGCCAGCCGCCGCGGCUACACCGCCAAGCUCAAGUUAUGGAAUAACGGCGUCAAGCGUGUUUUAAGUAAUAAUUAACUAGAAUCAAAUAACAUAUAACAGUAGUAAUAAGCAAAUAUUAAGAAGCACACUAACGAAAGUAAUUCUAAAUAACUUGAAUCCACGACAGCUAAGAAACAAACUGGGAUCUGGUACCCCACUAUGCCUAGCCGUAAAAAAUAAACUUACACCAAACAACGCCAGAGAAUUACGAGCACAAGCUUAAAACUCAAAGGACUUGACGGUGUCCCACUCUACCUAGAGGAGCCUGUUCCGUAAUCGAUAAUCCUCGCUGUACCUCACCAUUUUUAGCUAUAUCAGCCUGUAUACUUCCGUCGUAAGCCCACCAUGUGAAUGCCAUUAGUGAGCCCCAAGAUCACAAGCAUCUAAACGUCAGGUCAAAGUGCAGCCAAUAAAAUGGGAAGAAUGGGCUACAAUUUCUAACAUAGAACAUACGAAAAAUCGUCUGAAACUUCGAUCAAGAAGGUGGAUUUAGAAGUAAAAUGAAAAAGAGAAUUCAUUUUAACACAGCCCUGGGACGUGUACAUACCGCCCGUCAUCCUCUUCAACAAUAACUAUCUAUUUAUCAUAAAUUACUAUUAAAAAGAAGAGACAAGUCGUAACAUGGUAAGUAUACUGGAAAGUGUGCUUGGAAACAAAAUGUAGUUUAAAUUAAAUCCCCUCGCUUACAUCGAGACGAUAUCUAAUAACAAUAGAUCAUUUUGAACCUCCAGUCUAGUUUUUGACCAAAUAAUAAUAAUAAUAUAAUCUGUAAACUCUAAUUAAAACAUUUUAUAAUGGUUUAGUAAAAGCGAUUAAAAAACCUCAACAAAACUAUAAAUAAAGUACCGCAAGGGAAUGAUGAAAUAAAAAUGAAAUAAUGCUAAAGUAACAAAAAGCAGAGACACACCCUCGUACCUUUUGCAUCAUGGUCUAGCUAGUCAAAACAAGCAAAACGUACCUAAAGUUUGUAAUCCCGAAACUAAGUGAGCUACUUUAGAAUAACCUUUAGGGCCAACUCAUCUCUGUAGCAAUAGAGUGAGAAAAUUUUUAAGUAGAAGUGACAAGCCUACCGAACUUAGUAAUAGCUGGUUAUUUGAGAAAAGAAUUUUAGUUCUGCCUUAAGCACAAAAAAUUUCAACAAAAAUAGCUUAAGAGUUAUUCAAAUAAGGUACAGCCUAUUUGAAACAGGAAACAACCUAAGAAUUAGGGUAAUGCUACUAUUAAUAUAAAUAAGUUGGCUUGAAAGCAGCCACCUUUAAAAAAGCGUCAAAGCUUAACUAACUAUACUCAUAAUUUUAAUAUUAACGCUGAACCCAAUAUCAAUACCAAAUAACUUUAUAUUUUUAUAAAUAAUAUUAUGCUAGAACUAGUAAUAAGAAUAUGCACUUCUCCGAAAUACAUUUAUAAUGCAGCUCGAACCAUAACUGCUAAUUACUGUUUAUAAACCAAAAGUAGCAACUCAACUAGAAAACUCUACUUCAUGUAACAUUAACCUUACACAAGAGUAUUCCCGGAAAGAUUUAAAGAAAGGGAAGGAACUCGGCAAAUAAGAGCCUCGCCUGUUUACCAAAAACAUCGCCUCUUGCUAAAACAUAAGAGGUCCCGCCUGCCCCGUGACUUAGUUUAACGGCCGCGGUAUCUUAACCGUGCAAAGGUAGCACAAUAAAUUGUUCUCUAAAUAAGGACUAGAAUGAAUGGCAUCACGAAGGCUCAACUGUCUCCCCCCUCUGAUCAAUGAAACUGAUCUUCUCGUGAAGAAGCGAGAAUAAAUAUAUAAGACGAGAAGACCCCAUGGAGCUUUAAACUCAUAACCAAUUACUUAAAUCCAAAUCACAAAAAAUAGUAAACUUGUUCUACCAUAGUUUUCGGCUGGGGUGACCCUGGAGUAAAAUAAAUCCUCCAGAGUGAACGGAGUAAAAUCCUAAUAGUAGAGCUACAGCUCGAAUAAUCAAAAUAAUUGACACUAAUGAUCCAACCUGUUGAUCAACGAAACAAGUUACCCUGGGGAUAACAGCGCAAUCCAUUUCAAGAGCCCCUAUCGACGAAUGGGUUUACGACCUCGAUGUUGGAUCGGGAUAUCCAGGUGGCGCAGCCGCUACCAACGGUUCGUUUGUUCAACGAUUAACAAUCGCACGUGAUCUGAGUUCAGAACGGGAGAGUGGCGUCAAGCAAAAAAACUCUCCGGUCUGAACUUCAGAUCCACGUAGGGGGCGGGUAUUACG